rnacentral:rRNA from 1 species
UACGUAGGGUGCGAGCGUUAAUCGGAAUUACUGGGCGUAAAGCGUGCGCAGGCGGUUCGUUGUGUCGGCGGUGAAAGCCCCGGGCUUAACCUGGGAAUGGCCGUUGAAACUGGCGAACUGGAGUGUGGCAGAGGGGGGUGGAUUCCGCGUGUAGCAGUGAAAUGCGUAGAGAUGCGGAGGAACACCGAUGGCGAAGGCAGCCCCCUGGGCUAACACUGACGCCUCAGGCACGAAAGCGUGGGGAGCAAACAGG